CGCAGCACAAGUUACAACUCCCUCAACAAGCUGCAGGCGGCGGCUGUGGCGAGCCACUGGGAAGACUAGUUCCACCCGGCUCAGGGUUGUGUGAGUAAGAUAGCUCUGUGUGCUGUGUCUUCUGCUGCUGUAAAAGAUGGCUCGUGGGCGAGGAAGAGGGCGGAGAGGAGCCACCAAGCGCAAGACUACCGAGGACGAUGAAGUGCCAGCUGAAGCUCAAGAGGAAGAGAGAGUGAAAAUACUCAGUUGAGACGAGCCAUAUGAGGCCAAGGAAUCUGAGCCACAGAAUGACAAAAGAAGAAAUAUAAACCUGAUGAAAUUCUUCUUAGAACAUAUCCUAAGGCAACUAUACAUGAAGAUUAUUCAUGUAUGCUGAACCAAACCAACAUUGGCCAAACAACAACAAGUUCUACAUCAUUCAAGUGAAUAAA